GAGUUUGAUCAUGGCUCAGAUUGAACGCUGGCGGCAGGCCUAACACAUGCAAGUCGAGCGGUAGAGAGAAGCUUGCUUCUCUUGAGAGCGGCGGACGGGUGAGUAAUGCCUAGGAAUCUGCCUGGUAGUGGGGGAUAACGCUCGGAAACGGACGCUAAUACCGCAUACGUCCUACGGGAGAAAGCAGGGGACCUUCGGGCCUUGCGCUAUCAGAUGAGCCUAGGUCGGAUUAGCUAGUUGGUGAGGUAAUGGCUCACCAAGGCGACGAUCCGUAACUGGUCUGAGAGGAUGAUCAGUCACACUGGAACUGAGACACGGUCCAGACUCCUACGGGAGGCAGCAGUGGGGAAUAUUGGACAAUGGGCGAAAGCCUGAUCCAGCCAUGCCGCGUGUGUGAAGAAGGUCUUCGGAUUGUAAAGCACUUUAAGUUGGAGGAAGGGCAGUAAAUUAAUACUUUGCUGUUUUGACGUUACCGACAGAAUAAGCACCGGCUAACUCUGUGCCAGCCC
rnacentral:rRNA from 1 species